rnacentral:rRNA from 1 species
UACAGAGGGUGCGAGCGUUAAUCGGAAUUACUGGGCGUAAAGCGCGCGUAGGCGGCUUUGUAAGUCGGGUGUGAAAUCUCCCUGCUCAACGGGGAGGGUGCACUUUAGACUGCAGAGCUAGAGGACGGUAGAGGGGGGUGGAAUUGCUGGUGUAGCGGUGAAAUGCGUAGAGAUCAGCAGGAACACCCGUGGCGAAGGCGGCCCCCUGGGCCGAACCUGACGCUGAGGCGCGAAGGCUAGGGGAGCGAACGGG